CAAUUGGACUACAUAUCCCAGCCUUCUUGCAGUUAGAUCACAUGACUGAGUUCUAGUAAUGAAUACAAUUUCUGGGACAGAGCUUUAAAGAAGGAGGUGUUCCACCUCCAAGCUCUCAUUUUUCUUUCACUGACUGGAGGCAGAUGAUGAAUUUGAAGCCCUGACAAAGAGAAGGCAAAAUCAGUUUGUGUCCCUGAGUUGCUAAGUGGAGAAGAAACGUCCACCAACCAGGAAACACCUGCCUCCAACUGUUAAGUGAGCAAGAAAUAAACUUCUGUUGUGUUUGAGCUUAGUCACAUAUUUAAACUUUGCAGUAGGUCUGUGAAAUGUGCUUUGUUUCUGGUCAGCAUGGACACCCGCUUUAAUAGUGGCUUCAGAUGAGGCACCUUGUGACAGAGGAGCUCUUCCCCUGCAGCAACCUUGAAGAUGUUGUGGAAGACAAUAGCCAUUCUUACUUCACUCUGAGGAUCACGAUGGCGUGCAAGGGUGUGCCAAGCACAUUGCUAUCUUUGGCCAUUCUCUCUCACAUUAGUACACCUGGAUGUGAAUGGCACGUUAUCUAUGUAAGCAGUGAUGGUCUCUAUCUGGUGGUAGAAAUGACAGAAUUACACACAAUCAGGACAGCUGAGAUUCCAUUUACUAGCUCAGUAAUCAGAGAAUAUGUAUGACAUCCCAGCAAAAAAUGUUGAACAUGUUCAGAUUUCAUCAUAUCAGCACCACAGUAUCAGUCUUACUGGGAGGUGCUCGCAUUCAGUUCCUGGCUACUGAAGAAAUUUUGCAGGAGUUCCAGAUAACUUACUUGUCCCAUAAUAAUGAAAACUAUUACAAUUAUGCUAAAGAAGAA
rnacentral:lncRNA from 10 species